CGGGUCCCUGCUGGGCGGGAAGGCGGCACCCCGGCGGAGGUGGCGGCGGCUCCUCAGGGUUACGUCUCAUACCUAUAUACCUGUGAUAAAGUGUAACUAUAAAUGAAACACUGCAAGAGACUGACAACAAAUAAUAAAAUAGAACAAUUUAUGACAAUACUCAGGGCAGCGUGCAAUUUAAAACAUUGGAGAAGAAGUUGUCCAUGCUCACACUGGGUGAAGGAAGCUGAAACCACAGACAUGGCUGAGUCCUCCAUAAAGAAGCUGGCCUCCACCCUGCUGGACGCCAUCACCGAUAAGGACCCCCUGGUGCAGGAGCAGGUCUGCAGUGCCCUGUGCUCCCUCGGGGAGGUGCGGCCGGUGGAGACGCUCCGUACCUGUGAGGAGUACCUGCGGCAGCAUGACAAGCUGGCGCACCCAUACCGAGCGGCGGUCCUGAGGGCCAUGGAGAGGGUCCUGAGCAGUCGCGCCAGUGAGCUGGACAAGGACACAGCCAGCACCAUCAUCCUCCUGGCCUCCAGCGAGAUGACCAAGACGAAGGUUCAGGACCUGGUCUGGGACUGGCAGCAGGCGGCGAGUGGCGUCCUGGUGGCCGUGGGAAGGCAGUUCAUCAGCAAGGUGAUGGAGGAGCUGCUGCGCAGGCUGCACCCUGGAACCCUGCCUCACUGCGCCGUGCUGCACACCCUCGCCAGCCUCUCGGUGGCCAACGCGUUCGGCGUCGUCCCCUUCCUGCCAUCCGUCCUGAGCUCCCUCCUGCCUGUGCUGGGCAUGGCCAAGCAGGACACGGUGCGCAUGGCGUUCUGCUCCGCUCUGCAGCGCUUCAGCGAGGGUGCCCUGGAGUACCUGGCCAACCUGGACCGGGCCCCAGACCCCACGGUCAGGAAGGACGCCUUUGCCGCCGACAUCUUCAGCGCCUACGAUGUUCUCUUCCACCAGUGGCUGCAGAGUCGAGAAGCCAAGCUCCGUCUUGCCGUGGUGGAGGCUCUGGGGCCUAUGAGCCAUCUGCUGCCCAGUGAGAGGCUGGAAGAGCAGCUGCCCAAGCUCCUCCCUGGGAUCCUCGCCCUCUACAAGAAGCACUCAGAGACCUUCUACUUGUCCAAGAGCCUGGGACAGAUCCUCGAGGCGGCCGUGAGUGUGGGCAGCCGCACAUUGGAGACCCAGCUGGAUGCCCUCUUGGCUGCACUGCACUCCCAGAUCUGUGUGCCUGUGGAGUCCUCAAGCCCCCUGGUGAUGAGCAACCAGAAGGAGGUGCUGCGCUGCUUCACUGUGCUGGCCUGCAGCUUGCCUGACCGCCUACUGGCCUUCCUGCUGCCCAGGCUGGACACCAGCAAUGAGAGGACCCGCGUGGGCACCCUGCAGGUGGUCAGACAUGUCAUCAACUCGGCUGCUGCUCAGAUGGAAGAUAAAAAGCCCUUUAUCCUCUCUUCCAUGAGGCUUCCUCUCCUGGACACCAACAGCAAGGUGAAGCGGGCAGUGGUGCAGGUGAUCAGUGCCAUGGCCCACCACGGCUACCUGGAGCAGCCUGGAGGUGAGGUGAUGAUUGAGUACAUCGUGCAGCAGUGCGCGCUGCCCCCUGAGCAGGAGCCUGAGAAGCCAGGCCCCAGCAGCAAGGACCCCAAGGCCGACAGUGUGCAGGCCGUCAGCGUGCGCACCCUCUACCUGGUCAGCACCACCGUGGACAGGAUGAGUCACGUCCUCUGGCCGUACCUGCUCCAAUUCCUCACUCCUGUGCGCUUCACCAGGGCCCUGACUCCGCUCUGCAGGAGCCUCGUGCAUCUGGCGCAGAAGAGGCAGGAGGCUGGGGCGGACGCCUUCCUCAUCCAGUAUGACGCCCAUGCGAGCCUCCCGUCUCCCUAUGCUGUAACCGCAAGACUGUUGGUUGUGUCUUCCAGCCCCUACCUGGGGGACGGACGUGGGGUGGCGGCGCUGCGUCUCCUCAGUGUUCUGCACCCUAACAUUCACCCUUUGCUGGGUCAGCAUUGGGAGACGACUGUCCCGCUGCUGCUGGGGUACCUGGAUGAGCACACGGAAGAGACCCUGCCACAGGAGGAGUGGGAGGACAAGCUGCUGGUGUUCCUGCGAGACACCCUGGCCAUCGUUUCUGACAACACGUGGAUCUGCCAGCUGAGCCUGGAGCUGUGCAGGCAGCUGCCCUGCUAUGAUGAGGCACCCCAGGAGAAGAACUUCCUGUACAAAUGCAUAGGAACCACCCUGGGUGCUGCUUCAAGUAAGGAGGUGGUGAGGAAGCACCUUCAAGAGCUGCUGGAAACAGCCAGAUACCAGGAGGAGGCAGAACGUGAGGGCCUCGCCUGCUGCUUCGGGAUCUGUGCCAUCUCCCACCUCGAGGACACGCUGGCCCAGCUGGAGGACUUCGUGAGGUCAGAGGUCUUCAGAAAAUCCAUCGGCAUUCUCAACAUUUUUAAGGAUCGAAGCGAGAACGAGGUAGAGAAGGUGAAGAGUGCUCUGGUCCUGUGCUACGGGCACGUGGCAGCCCGGGCCCCGCAGGAGCUGGUGCUGGCCAAAGUGGAGUCAGACAUCCUCCGGAACAUCUGCCAGCACUUCAACACCAAGGUUCUGGGAGUAAAGGUAGAAACCAAGGACCCAGCCUUGAAGCUGUGCCUGGUCCAGAGUGUGUGCAUGGUCAGCCGCGCCAUCUGCAGCAGCACCCAGGCUGGCUCCUUCCACUUCACCCGGAAAGCAGAGCUGGUGGCACAGAUGAUGGAGUUCAUCAGGGCAGAGCCCCCGGACUCCCUGAGGACACCUAUUCGGAAGAAAGCCAUGCUCACCUGCACUUACUUGGUCUCUGUGGAGCCGGCGCUGGACGAGCAGGCCCAGGCGGAUGUGAUCCGUGGCUGCCUGCACAGCGUCAUGGCCCUGCUGCCUGAGCCCAAGGAGGAGGACGGAGGCUGCCAGAAGUCCCUGUACCUGGAGACACUGCACGCCCUUGAGGGUCUGCUGACGAGCCUCCUGCAGCGGAACAUGACCCCCCAAGGCCUGCAGAUCAUGAUUGAGCACCUGAGCCCAUGGAUCAAGUCCCCAAGAGGUCACGAGCGGGCACGGGCCCUGGGCCUGAGCGCCCUCCUGCUGCGCCACUUCCUGGAGCAGCUGCGUGUCAGCGCCCUGGUGCCCUUCCACAACCUGGGCCUUCUCGUUGGCCUCUUCUCCCCACGGUGCGCGGACCUGUGGCCUGCCACCCGCCAGGAGGCCGUCGACUGCGUCUACUCCCUGCUCUACCUCCAGCUCGGCUAUGAGGGCUUCUCCCGGGACUACCGCGAUGACGUGGCGGAGCGGCUCCUCAGCCUCAAGGAUGGCCUCGCGCACCCUGACCCCACCAUUCUCUUCCACACCUGCCACAGCAUAGGCCAGAUUAUUGCCAAGCGCCUCCCACCUGACCAGCUCAUCAGCCUCUUGCUAACCAUGUUUGAGGCCCUGGGAGACCCCGAAAAGAACUGCUCCCGAGCAGCUACCGUCAUGAUCAACUGCCUGCUGCAGGAGCGGGGUGGCGUGCUCCAGGAGAAGGUGCCUGAGAUCGUGAGCGUGCUGCGCUCCAAGCUUCAGGAGGCCCAGGGAGAGCACGUCCUGCCGGCUGCCCAGCACAGCGUGUACCUCCUGGCCACCCAGCACUGCGCGGCCGUGGUGUCCAGCCUCCUGGGCAGCCCCCUGCCCUUGGACAGCCACACCUCCAUGCUGUGGCGGGCGCUGGCGGUGGAGCCUCGCCUGGCUGCUCAGGUCCUGGGACUACUGCUGGAGAAGAUGAGUAGGGACGUCCCAUUCAAGGAGAGCCGCGCCUUCCUGCUGGGCCGCACCCCAGAGCGCGUGGCCACGCUGCUGCCUCUCUCGGCCACCUGUGCACUAUUCGAGGUCCUGUCCACGCCUGCAGCGGGGCCCGCGGUGCUAGAGCUCUACCCCCAGCUGUUCGUGGCGCUUCUGCUGCGUGUCAGCUGCACCGUGGGUGUCCAGCUGCCCCGGAACCUGCAGGCCCAGGAAAGGAGGGGAGCCAGUCCAGCCCUAGCCGCCAGGAACCUGGAACCCUGCAGCUCCGCAGUGGACACCCUGCGGGCCGUGCUGCUCCGCAGCGGCAGCGAGGAUGUGGCACAGCGCAUGGACCUAGACGGAGGCUGGGAGCUGCUCGGGACCUCGGCGGGGCACGAGGAGGGGGCCACCAGGUUGGCCAGGGCCAUGGCUGAGCACGCAGGGCCCCGGCUCCCCCUGGUGCUGAAGACGCUGGCUGGCACACACAGCAGUGCAUAUGAGAACCAGAGGGUGACCAUCACCGCCUUCCUGGCCGAGCUGCUGAACAGCAACGUGGCCAACGACCUGAUGCUCUUGGACUCGCUGCUGGAGAGCCUGGCGGCUCGCCAGAAGGACACAUGCGCCAGCGUGCGAAGGCUGGUGCUCCGCGGCCUGGCCAACCUGGCCUCCGGCUGCCCUGACAAGGUGCGAGCCCACGGCCCCCAGCUCCUCACAGCCAUGAUUGGCGGGCUAGACGACGGGGACAACCCUCACAGCCCGGUGGCCCUGGAGGCCAUGCUGGGCCUUGCGAGGCUGGUGCACCUGGUGGAGGCCUGGGACCUGCGCUCAGGGCUGCUGCACGUGGCCAUCCGCAUCCGGCCUUUCUUCGACAGUGAGAAGAUGGAGUUCCGCACAGCAUCCAUCCGCCUCUUUGGGCACCUGAACAAAGUCUGCCAUGGAGACUGUGAGGACGUCUUCCUGGAGCAGGUGGUGGGCGGGCUGGCGCCCCUGCUGCUGCACCUGCAGGACCCUCAGGCCACCGUGGCCAGCGUUCGCCCUGCGCAUGUGUGGCCCCAACCUGGCGUGUGAAGAGCUCUCAGCCGCUUUCCAGAAACACCUGCAGGAGGGACGGGCCCUGCACUUCGGGGAGUUCCUCAACACCACCUGCAAGCACCUGAUGCACCAUUUCCCAGACCUCCUGGGCCGCCUGCUGACCACCUGCCUGUUCUACUUCAAGAGCAGCUGGGAGGACGUCCGAGCUGCUGCACCACUGUUCACUGGUGAGCAGCACCCCUGCCCCGCCCCCAUGCCGCCCAGCAGCCCUGCCUGAUGCCCCCACUUCACAGGGUUCCUGGUGCUGCACGCGGAGCCCAGGCAGCAGCCGCAGGUGGACCUGGAUCAGCUCAUUUCGGCGCUCCAGAUCCUGCUGAAGGACCCGGCCCCCGAGGUGCGGACCAGGGCUGCUGAGGCCCUGGGCCGCCUGGUGAAGCUCGCCUGAGGCUCCGGCCAGCGCCCCCAGCAAGGAGUACACACCCAGACCUGUGUCUGAGCUCCAAGACAGGGCCUCCCGAGGACCCCAGCCUGGGCACACAGCUGGAGGGGCCUGGCCCCAGGACAGGCCCUGCCAGGGACCAAACCGCAGCCCCUCAGUGAGGCCAGACAGGGUGUGGGAGUCUGUGUGCCCAAUAAACUCAUCUGCUCCCAGCGAGUGACUGACAGGAUGCAGUGCCGCGGCCUCUUAGGGGACGGGCCAGAGGGUGCCCUGGGCUGGCUGUGUUGUCCCCACUGUUUCUGCAAAAUGGAGGGGAAGGCUCGGCGCUGUGGUGGGGGCGGCUGUGUUGGCAACCCCAAUUCAAGAAGGUGGGAGCACCAGGCAGCGCAGGGUAAGGCUCUAUUGACUUCAGCACAACCGCCCCAGCCUGACAUAGGCAGGACAGCUAGGUGAAGAGGCGGAUGGUCCCGUCUGCCCCCGAGGAGAAGACCCACGGCUGGGUGGGGUGGAAGACGACGUCCAGCACUCCCAGGUCUCGUGUCAGCGCGUGUCCCUUCAGCACCUUGACGGGCACCAGCAGGGGGUUCUGCAGAAGGUCACUGUGGGGACGAGGAGGGCUCAGGACACGGACAGACACUACUGCCCUGGGGAGGGGCCAGGCAGGGUCAGCACUCACUUGUACACCAUGCCAUGGCAGACGAUGACGCUGCCGUCGUCCGAGCCUGACGCGAAGAGUGGGUACCGGGGGUGGAAGGCCACAGCCCGCAGAGCCUUCUUGUGGUGUCUGGGAGAAGGGAACCAGGUGGAAAGCAGGCUCAGGCUGGAGGGAGGGGCUCUGCUGGCCGCCUCCACCCCCCAGCUCUCCUCACCUCAGCAUCCUGUAUGGCUUGGUGGAAAGAUCCAGGUCAAACCACA